rnacentral:rRNA from 1 species
AUUGAACGCUGGCGGCAUGCCUUACACAUGCAAAGUCGAAACGGGCAGGCACGGGAGCAAUCCUGGUGGCGAGUGGCGAACGGGUGAGUAAUAUAUCGGAACGUGCCCAGUCGUGGGGGAUAACGUAGCGAAAGCUACGCUAAUACCGCAUACGAUCUAAGGAUGAAAGCGGGGGAUUCGCAAGAACCUCGCGCGAUUGGAGCGGCUGAUAUCAGAUUAGGUUGUUGGUGAGGUAAAAAGCUCACCAAGCCGACGAUCUGUAGCUGGUUUGAGAGAACGACCAGCCACACUGGGACUGAGACACGGCCCAGACUCCUACGGGAGGCAGCAGUGGGGAAUUUUGGACAAUGGGCGCAAGCCUGAUCCAGCAAUGCCGCGUGCAGGAUGAAGGCCUUCGGGUUGUAAACUGCUUUUGUACGGAACGAAACGGUGAGCUCUAAUACAGUUUGCUAAUGACGGUACCGUAAGAAUAAGCACCGGCUAACUACGUG